GACAUAGGGGGCAAGCGUUGUCCGGAAUUACUGGGCGUAAAGCGAGCGUAGGCGGUUUAUUAAGUUAAGUGUGAAAGCCUGGGGCUUAACUCCAGAACUGCACUUAAUACUGGUAAACUAGAGUGUUGGAGAGGUAAGUGGAAUUCCUAGUGUAGCGGUAGAAUGCGUAGAUAUUAGGAGGAACAUCAGAGGCGAAGGCGGCUUACUGGACAAUAACUGACGCUGAGGCUCGAAAGUGUGGGGAGCAAACAGG
rnacentral:rRNA from 1 species